rnacentral:rRNA from 1 species
CCCUUAGAUGUUCUGGGCUGCACGUGUGCUACAAUGUGCCACAUAUAGAGUCUCCUUCACUUAACGGUGCGGGGAAUCUACUAGUAUGGUGCUAGAUGGGGCUUGAUGAUUGAAAUUUUCCAUCACAAACUAGGAAUUCCUAGUAUGUGUACGUCAACAACGUAUAUAGAAUACGUCCCUGCCCUUUGUACACACCGCCCGUCGCUCCUACCGAUUGAGUGGUCCGGUGAGGCUUUGGGAUCUGAGCGGAAAGAGCGUUUCGCUGUUUCUGCUCGGAAAACUCAGUCGAACCUUAUCAUUUAGAGGAAGGAGAAGUCGUAACA